rnacentral:rRNA from 1 species
AGUCAUAUGCUUGUCUCAAAGAUUAAGCCAUGCAUGUCUAAGUAUAAGCAAUUAUACCGUGAAACUGCGAAUGGCUCAUUAAAUCAGUUAUCGUUUAUUUGAUAAUACCUUACUACUUGGAUAACCGUGGUAAUUCUAGAGCUAAUACAUGCUGAAAAUCCCGACUUCGGAAGGGAUGUGUUUAUUAGAUAAAAAACCAAUGCCCUUCGGGGCUUUUUGGUGAUUCAUGAUAACUUUACGGAUCGCAUAGCCUUGCGCUGGCGACGGUUCAUUCAAAUUUCUGCCCUAUCAACUUUCGAUGGUAAGGUAUUGGCUUACCAUGGUUUCAACGGGUAACGGG